GAAUGGGUCAUAUGCAGAAUUGCAGGACUCAUAAGACCUUCACCAGCUUUUUUUUGGUACUCUUCCAGUCAGAACAGUGUCCAACAGAACACAGGAACAAGCUGGCUUUACUCUAAUAUGGUUAACCUUCAUAUUUAUGGAGUCUGCCUUUUUAAUACAUACAUUUAAGGAAGCAAAUGUUUUCCAGAGGCAGGUGAGCUGCUAGCACUCAUUAGUAAUUAUGUUGCAAUUAAUAAAGAUCAGCAGAGUAGAGAGUCUUAUUGGAACAUUGUUUUACAGUUUUUGGGAAAGUUUUUCUCUCUGUAGAUAAUCUUCAGAUUACAAUAAAUGUGCAAUUUUUUUUGAAUGAAGGGAAUAAAACGCUCAUGCAUAAGUAGUAGUCUCUAUAUUGAGAGGCUUACACAACUAAUGUAAAAUAUAUAUAAAAAAUUAGGCACUAGAGGUCUAACAGUACUGCAAGUACAUUAACAGUUUAUUGGCAGGUAUCCUUGAUACAAAUGUGAAUAUUACAUUCAAGUCAUUAUGAUUAAUAGAGUUCACCCAAUUAUCAAGGCACUUUACGAGAGGCAGGUACCGUUCAUUAUUCAGAUCUGUUGUAUGAAAGUCCAGUGCACCAGGGAAGGAAUGAUUUCAUCUGUACCUGAAUCGUACCAUAAAAUGCUGGUGUUAUUUUUGUUCCCCUGCUUUCCUUAAAUAUGGAUUUUUUCCUGAUUUCAACAACAGCGACACACAGCUCAACAUGUGCUCUUGUACAACAGGGGUUUAAAAAAAAUGUAAAAAUGACAUGAUGCCAUUAGAAGGAAGUGCAAAACAUGACAAUUACAGACCUAGUGAUAAAGACAAACAGGACAGUGCAAAUAUACACACAGCUGGUAACAAGACUUGCAACUUCCUUUUUGCAUCAUUGGUUAAGAAUUAAAAUCUCAAUUGACAAGAACAGGCUUCUGUCAAGAGAGUGGUGUGUGGCUUAAUACUAUGAAAGACAAGAAAUAUCAUAUAUCACACUUAACACAUGUUACAUAGUUAAAGAGAAUAGAAAAUAGAUGAGAAAUUGGUAGAAACAGCCUCUAAAUGUCGACAUCUGGAAAGUCUUCUGCGAAUGUUUAACAUUGGUCCAUGGACCCUAAAAUCCAACAAAACAGAAAUUAGUGAGAAAGCAAGUGGACAAGUUACAUAUCACUUUAUAUACUUUUGAACUAUUGUUGGUCUAAUCCAAUUUUUGUAGAUCAGGCACAUGCAUGGCUAUUUUACGACAAUAUCAAGCAUGUGGCUUAUUGAUAGACUUAAAACUUGUUAACUACCUUAUAAUUAGAGGAAUUCUCCAAUGUUUUGGACAACCCUGCUUUAAAUAAACAGAAGCUACGCCUGGAACAAAAUGAUGCUGCUAUUUUCAAGACAUAUUAUUCUGGCCUAAAUUAAGCAUGUUGCAUGAAUUUAUUGGAGGAAAACAACAUUUUAUCCCAAAAUUGAGUUGUCAGCUUAGGGAGAAAUAAAGAGAAAGUUGAUAACAACUAGGAAAUUAGUCAUGCUGCAGUUUCUUUCUCAUUCGGUCUUUGACUGUACUUUUUUCAUACACAGUCAGCCAAACAGUUGAAGUGUCAUGAGUUGUCCAAUCUUCUAUGCCGUGACUGAAGUUUGACUUAAAGGGUCACUGUAAUCCUUUUUAAAACACACACACACACACAUAUAUAUAUAUAUUAUUAUUUUUUUUUAACUUAAUAUGCCUAAUUGAGCAUUACUGGCUAGGUUCCCCCUUUUAAAAUUCCAUUAAAGAUUUUAAACUUACGUGAAAUCCAGCACCGUUUCCACUCCUCUUCUUAUGUGGUCCAAUCAAUUACAGGGAGUGCAGAAUUAUUAGGCAAAUGAGUAUUUUGACCACAUCAUCCUCUUUAUGCAUGUUGUCUUACUCCAAGCUGUAUAGGCUCGAAAGCCUACUACCAAUUAAGCAUAUUAGGUGAUGUGCAUCUCUGUAAUGAGAAGGUGUGUGGUCUAAUGACAUCAACACCCUAUAUCAGGUGUGCAUAAUUAUUAGGCAACUUCCUUUCCUUUGGCAAAAUGGGUCAAAAGAAGGACUUGACAGGCUCAGAAAAGUCAAAAA